GGGACACUGUCUUCGUACCUGGAACGCCGGAAGAACCCGCACUGCGCAAAGAAGGAAAAGAACAGUUUAGGUGUAAGUUGCUGCCAAAGUACUACAACUACAGAGGCAGUAAAUUCUUCCUUCAUGCAAAUAUACAGCAAAGUGUGUUCCUAGAGAAGUACACCUAAGAACUCAAGUAAAACAGAUAUUUCCACAACGAUAAAUUCUCACUAUGAAAACCCUUCUCCAAUGUGAGCAACAUGUACAGCAUGCACUAAAGAUUUCUACAUGUGAAUAAGAUCAAGUCUUCACAGAUUGCUUAAACCUCACUCCAAGAUUAAAGAUUGGAUUAUAUGCAUCAUACCUACAUGCAAGAACCACUAACUGUUUGUACUGACAGCAAUGGGAAAAUAUAAUGAAGAUGUUAUUACUUGCUUAUUUUAAGAUUCAUUUGAAUUUAGAAUUGGUGUAAGAUCUGGAAGUGCACUCUCUUUUCUCCUGGAUGGUGACUCCAGGCCCGCAAUUUUAACACUGACUGAUAUUGGAAUGGGACGCAGCUUAUCUUUAAUUUUUUCCUGUUAAAAUAUUUUAAAUUGCAUCAUUAGUAUACAGUGCAGAGGAAAAAAAAAAAAAAACAACACAAAGUGAGAAGAUAUUUUACAUGAAGGAACAAAUGAGCUGAUCCUGUUCUCAUUAAAGCAUCGAAAGGUUGUUUAAAAUAGCUGCCAGAGACAAAAGAGGGAGAGAGAUACAAUGAAAUAGGACCUGUGAAAUAGGACCUCUGUAUUCAGUACAGCUAAAGGAUACUGAAGUGCCAGGAUGAUUUGCUCUUCUUCCAAGAAGUUACUUGGCAAUAGAAUGUCACGCACACAGAAGCACAGCUGCCUCUCAGGCAGCUGACUGAAAUUAGCAGCAAGCAGUGUGCAGUAGUUUGUGGAAGAAACUACUUCAUGCUCAGCUGAAACACCGAGGAUGAGAGAACAGUGUGUGGGUAAGUGCAACACAGCAGGCGAGAUGGAUGCAUGGAUGGAUGCUGAACCAGACUCUUCUUCCUGACCCCAGGACAUAAAGCACUUGAAAGAAGAUAUCCCUGAUAUUACAGUGUCAAGGACAGAAAAGCUGGGACUACAAAUGGAUCCACAAGGCUCAAAAAGGACCUCAAACCCUUUUUAAUACCCAGCUCUAGUUUUGCUUUGUUCUGGCAGUGGGUCAAAGCACACUGCUGUCCCUCAGAAGGCUAUUUUUACUAAAAACAAUACUCACUUUUCUUCAUGUCCAACAAUAAAGACUGGAUCAGUUA